rnacentral:tRNA from 1 species
UGCAUCGGCUGGGAAUCGAACCCGGGCCGCCCGCGUGGCAGGCGAGCAUUCUACCACUUAACCACCGAUGG